AGAAAGAGUCGGAUCUAUGGAGGUUGUAGCCACGGCCUCGGCCACAGCUUCGGGAAUCCCAAGCCAGACCAAUGGGCCUUGGAGCCCAAAGCACCAAAGCCACCAAAAGCAACGUUCGCCAACCUCUGUCACCCGGAGGUCGGGAGCCUCGGUGGCUGCCGCCGCGCCGUUACUCCCGGGUGACUUUGCGAAACGCACAGAUGGGGACGCCUCCGGCCCGGCACGCAGGGCCGGCUGAUGGAUCGUCUCAUUUCCCGACUUGAUGGGCCGGAACCUGGGGUGGCGGGGCUGGGGGAGGGGGCCGUCCGCGUCGGGACCCAGCCGGAUGGCCGCGUGGGCCGGGUGGGAGGCUCUGGCCGCCGGAUUUGGGUUGGGGGAUGAGGGUGCGACAAACAGAUCUUAGAGAAAAACCUCGAAUCCCCCCCCCCGCCCCGCCCCCUCUGUCUCCAUCCCCAACACGAAGUUAUCCCUUCCUCUUUUUUCUGUUUUGGGCACAGGCGCCGCGUCCCGGGUCUCCGGGGACAGCGUGACUGUGAGUGCGGUGGCGGCUCUCCGGGGCUCCUGGCCCCGCCUCCUUCCUUGGGCGUCCGCGUCCGCCUGCACCGCGCUGUUGGCAUCCUUUCCUGCGGGUGGCUGCAGGAGGGCAGGACUCAGGAAGGACCCUGUGGGGGAAGGGUGUGAAAGCCGCAGGGGGUGAGGGAAAGCUUUCAUUCCGGGUCCAUCUAAAGUCCAAUUCUGGCCUCGGACUGGGAAUUUUGGAGAGAGACAGAGGGGCAGGGGUGGAGAGUCAGGGUAGCGGCGAGGGGUGUUGUAGAAGGGAAAAUGCACACCGAGCAGCUUGCAUCCCGGCUGUCCUACCCUCCAGGGAGACCUAGAAAGACAGGAGCCUCGGGGAGAGACAAAGUAGGCGGUCCCUGUCCGCGCACCUCUUCCAAGGUUCAGACAGGCCAGGCGCGUGAGGAAGCAGGAGCGAGGGGAGAACGCGAGGCUGCGCUUAGGCGAGCUUGCCAGAAUUUCCCCCAGGUCUCAGGAGCAGGAACUCCCGGCUGUGCUCCAGGUGUUCAUCCCAGGGCCUCAGGCCUGCCAUGAGGAAUCCCCGUUCUGGGCGUGCAUUUGGGUUCGGUAACCUGCCCUACUCCCCUCCUGCUGGACAGUGGACCACUCUGAAGGCCCCUCUGGCCAGGAACCUGCCACAAGGGUCAGGGCAUCCAGCUAGUGCACUGCCCCAAUACUAAAGUGUGGUCUGUGGACCCUUAGCAUCUCCCCCACCUGGCUGCUGCACAAGCUCCGGCCUCACCUACCGCACUGCAGCAGAACCUGCGUGUGAAAAGGUUACCUAGGGGACUUGUACACCUCUGCAGCUGGAGAAGCCCUGGCCUAAUUUCCAGAGCCCGAGUUGACUCCUGCUGACUCCACACAGUGUGUCUCCCGCUUCAUCUUCAUCAUCCGUCCAGUGAGAGGUGUUUCUGAGGUCCCAGGGCAGCUCUGCAGCAACCCCUGAAACCACUCCACCCCAAGGAAAUGAAAAUCACUAGUUAGUGGAGCCUGGCAGGAAUGCAGUUUUAAGGGUCCCCAAAUGAUUCUAAUAGCCAGGAAGAACUAGUAGAGAAUUAACUCCCUUUGCAGAUCAGCUGAGAUAUGCCCUGGAGCCUACACAAUACUGUGAGUACAAUGCUUCAGACCCCUGGGCUCUAUAGCCAGAUUCACUCUGGCCCCAGCAGAUGUGGCCUUGAGCGGGCUAAUGAGCCUUGCUGUGCCUCCUUUUCCUUACCUGUAAAAUGGAGUUGAUAAUAAUGCUCUACCACAAAGAGCGGGGUUCGGGUUUAGAACCAAACAUUUAGAAUCAAUUUCAAUAAAUCUUAGUUUAUAAUGCCAAA